UACCUGCGUUGUUUCAGAGGAGUAUAGCCCUGCAGACACCUUGCUUUCAGACUCCUAGUCUCUAGAACUGUGAGAGAAAUACAUUUCUACAGUUUUGAGCCACCUAGCCGGUGGCACUUUGUUACAGGAGCCUUAGAAAACUAAACCAGCUUCCAAAUAGGUAGAAGGGAAAGGAAAAAUAAAAUUGGAUUAAUCCUAUAGAAGGCAGACAAUUUUUAACAGGAAAGAAAGGUUUUACAUAAUAUAAAAUAACAGCAGAAAUAAAUUCAAACAUACCAGUAGUUCAAAAAUUAUGGACAUAAUGAAAUUCAUGUAUUAGAAUAUCAAAUGCUGAAUGUGUCUACAAAUCUGAUUCAUUUACAGUUUUCAAAUGACAUCUCUAGAACAAAAUGAUAGAAAUGUAUAAAGAAUACAGAAAAUCAAAGAUACACCAAACACCACCUAAAAAGAGAAAAACCUGGUGUAGCAGUAUUAAUAUCAUAGACAAAAAGGGACAAUUUGUGCAUGCAAUGCAUCAAGAAGAAAUAACUAUAAUAUUCCUAAACAUCAUCUACAAAAAUGUCAAGUGAAAGCUGACAACUCUAAGGCCAAAUGGAAAAACCCAUAGAGUGGGAGAUGUUCUCUUCUAAAAGAAGGAAUCUGAGAACAGGUGUGGGAAAAAAUAGGGCUAUAGAAAAUGUGAACAAUUUAACUAGCAAGAGUAAUUCCAAAAUACGUUUGAAACCCUAUUCUCAACAAACAGAAUUCAUAUUUUCUUUUUUUCUUCAACAUAUGAGACCAUUUACAAAAUUAUCCACGUACUAGGUUUAUAAGAAGUCCUCAUAUAUUCCAAAGAAUCAUGGUCAGACAAUAUUCCCUUGACCAAAAUACACCACUAUUCAUCUCUGAUGUCAACUUCAUUCUAAGAGAAAUAAAAAACUACAAUAAAAAGUAUUUUUUGCUUAUUUUGCAAAUACAAAAGAAGGGUAAUAAAAGCAUUGGUUAGGAUGUGAAAAAAUAUGGACUCCUAGCCAAGGUAGAAGUCUAAAUUGUUUUAAUUUGGCAAUAUAUGGCAAAAUUAAAAAUACCUAUUUCCCCCUUGUCCACCAAUUCAUUCCUGGAAUAUUUUUCCUACAGAGACACUUAACAUGUGUGCAAAGCAGAGUGUACAAGGAUUUUCAUCACAGUAUUGAUUGUUACAGGAAAAGACAGAAAAACCUCAAUGUCCAUCAAUGUGGGAAUGAUUAAAUUGUGGUCUUCUUGGAUAACUGCAUAUAACAAGGAUGGGGCAACACCAUGCUUAUGAUAUUGAAGAACUCCAAGAUCUUCAGGAUGAGAAGCAAUGUUAAUAGUCAUGCUCGUUAAUUUUUUAUAGAGGGAAGGGGUAUUUAUUUUCACUCUAGAAACAUACGCUAACAGAAUCCGCUGACAACAGUUACUUCUAUAAGUACUGGGAGACAGGGAAGACUUAUUCUAACUAAAAGGAAAUAUCUGCAUUUUAACCAUGUUCAUAUAACUAUUCAAAUAAUAAGCAGGCAAAAAGGCUCUAGUCAUUUUAUUCAUUCGUUUCAAAUACAGCAUCUAAAGAAAAUGAACUCUCUAGUGAUAAGCCUAAUAAACUGCAGAUAUUCUAAAUUCCUUUGCACAUUCCCUUUAAAUUCCUUUAUUGAUGAACUGUCAAGGGCAAACAUGUCUGUGCAAUUAAACCAGCAAACACAAUCAACAAGGUUUUCAAGAGGUUCAUUACCUGAGUGGCACAUGUAAAAGUGCUCAAAAACUGCAGGGCAAAACCAGUACAAACAAAUGGAAGACUUCUUCAUUUCAUGGCAAGCCAUCUUGAUGAAUCCUGGCUACCCUUCUGAUCUGUCCCCCUUCCCACUUUCAAAGGACAUAUCACGCAAAUUCUAGCCCUACAGACCUUGGCAGGUGUUGUUCCUUUUUCCUGGAAAGAUUCCACGUGCACUCCCACUCCUGCAUCCCUCCUACACCAUUCCCCCAGGCAGUCAUGUAGCUUACUCCUUGGAUUCACUCAGAUCUAUCUCCUUACCUUUCUUUCUUUUUCAAUCACUUAUCACUACCUUAACAUAAUUUUCAUUGCUUCUUUGUUUGCUUCCCACAUUAGAAAAAGUGAGCCCCAAGAGGGCAAAGUCUACUGCUAUACACAAUACCUGGUAGCAUACGAAGGCACGAAAUAAAUGCAUGUGGCCUAAGUUAGAUACAAUUUACAGAUGAAAAACCUACAGCAUAGCUGUCUUUAUGUUUUAGCCCAACCCCAUCUAACAUAGGUUUAUUUUUUCAAACUGCAGCUUUUUCUUGUCUUUUGUGCCUAGCCCAUGUUCAAAGAUAGGGCAAAUGGAGAAAAGUUCUCUCUGGAGAGCAGACUCAAUAGUGGAGAAAGAACUUGUACCUUGAUACUGGAUUUUGUUGAAAUUCACCUGGCUAACAUGCUACGGGUUCAAAAUUAGCAUUUAUUUUCUUGGUCAUCCAAUUGCAAAAGUUAGGGAAAACCUUUCCCUACAAUAUGAGGAAUAAAAACCCAAUGCUACAGAAGUAUUCUUAAGGCAAGGAUAAGUUCAAUGAUGGAGUUCCCGCUCUGGCACAGUGGGUUAAGGAUCCCACUGCAGUGGCUUGGGUCACUGCAGAGGUGUGGGUUCAAUCCUCAGUCUGGCGCAGUGGGGUUAAGGAUCCUGCAUUGCCACAUCUGUGGCGUAGGUCACAGCUGUGGCUCAGAUACAAUCCCUGGUCCUGGAACUUGCAUGUGUAGUGAGUGUGGCCAUUUAAAAAAAAAAGGAUAAGUUCAAUGAAGUUAUCUGAAUCUAAGCAUAUGGGAGGGACCUCGGCCCUCAUGGCCCAGUAGGUGAGUUAUUUUAAGGACCAAGGAUUUGGCUCCCCUUCCCCUGGAGGGACACCCUUGACCUCUAUCAAAUUCAGCUCUCUGUUGGACUUCUUCCACUUACCUUCUCUGGGCUUCGCUUACCAGAGAAAGAGUGCUCACCUAUGUCAGAGAAGCACAGGGACAGAAAGUAGUCUUUCCACUUUGCUGAUUGCAGACAGUUCUGCUUUGAAGGCACCUCCCCCACCCUACCCAUUUUGGUUUUUUAAGGAAGCCGCACACCCUGUGAUGCCUUGAGUCGUAAGCUUACCCAGUGCCAUAGUUGGCCAGGUCUGACCCAGAGAGAAGAUGGUGUUAGUUGUAAGGCACCAAAACAGAGGCUCCAUUGUCCCCAGCUCUUCCCCACACAUCCUUGUAACCCACGAAAUAUAGAAUGACCUGUCCAAUUCCUGCCACAUCCAUAUGGGUCUCUCGGGGCAUGUUAUAUAUUUUAUGAACUGGUACACAGCCUAGUAACAGCCCAACAGUUUCUGGAAUCCAAUUCUGAGAAAGAAAAUAAGUGCCUACUAUUAAAUACUACAUAUACACAUAGAUGUCAGUAUAAAACAUGGAAGCCUACUCCACUCACACAUGGGCUUUUCCAGUCUCUAUCCAGCAAGUUCUUCUUGCAGUCUAACCUAAUUGCUCUUUGAAUCAAUGUAAGAUUUAGAUUUCUCCUGUUUUCUCUGGAGAAGAGUUCAUAAAUACUCUCCAUCUUAUGUAUCUUUAAAUACUUAAGGGCCCCUCUCUGCCUUCUCUUGUCUACAAUAAAUGAACUCUUCCAUAAGGCCAUGGCCAUCAGCCAAUUUAUUGCAUCAUCCCCUCAAUCCUAAAAACCUGCAUAUUCAAAUCAGAGAUAAAAAUAGUUAUAUUGUAGCAAGUUCUGCUCCUCUGAUAUUUAAAUCUGCCCAUUUAUUAUACCUCUUGGCUUGUUACAUUUUAAAUAGAGCCGAGAAUGAGAAAACAACUGCUUUUUAGAGCAUCUGUCGCUGCUGACCCGGGGUUACCUCUGCAGUGUAGGCUUAUAGCACUUACCUAGGUUAUUAAGUGCUCCGGUGACAUUAUUACAAGAGGGGGCAGGCACGGUGUCAGCCUAAUGAGGCGGCAGAUUAUAUCUGAUGGUCUCCAUCCGAACAUCAGCACAGGCCAGGCUGUGCGCUAAUCAAGUCAUCAAAAGCCCUUCACCUGGGACAACAGCAGCCUUUGUCUCCACUUACGAGGAAAAUGAGCCACCUCCUUUCUAGUGCUAAUAAGUUUAGUGGAGACGGGUUAUGUUCCAUGGGAAAAGCUGGGCUCUCCCCUUCCACGGCAAGCAGCCAAAGCAUGGGGAUCGAGGAGGCAAGAAAUCAUUCCUUCCCCAUUUGGAGCCCAAAUACUUUUGCUGGAAAGCUGACACUGUGUCCUUGAGUUCAGAACCACCAGCACUUUCACGGUGCUUGACGUGGAAUAGGAGCUCCAUGUGUGUUUUUACUGAGUUAUUAGACUUUACACUUGGUUUUGAAGCCCCUGGUAGCCAAAUCAAAAAGAGGAAUAAGGAGGUUAGGGGCACUGACCCUCUGUGCAGUUGAAAUUCUGUGUGUAACUUAUAGUCGGUCCUCUGUGUCCUCGAUUCUGCACCCACAGAUUCAACCAACCAUAGAUUCAACCAAAGACAGAUCAGGUAAUACUGUGUUAUUUACUACUUAAAAAAAUUCUUCUGUUAAGUGGAGCCAUGCAGUUCAAAUCCAGAUUGUUCAACAGUCAACUCUAUACUUGUUUACACAGUUUUCCUGUGUGAAUAAGACAAAGAACACUGACUACUUCAGAAGAUACAGAUUUCUAAUGUUGUUUUGGAAAAAGCUGAGCACGUGCUUCUGUGUGUUCUUGAAAAUCCUCCACUGAAAACCCAUGCAAAGCAAAGGCCAGCAAUAAGUCUGUGCCCUUUCUGUUCCUUGCUGGGGGAAAGACCUUGUUACACAUGGAUUUUCCCAUCUACACAUGCUUACAGGGCAAAGAUCAAGGUCGGUCGGUGGCUGCUUCUCUGCAUCCUUAACAGCCAACAGAGAGCAUACUAUGGACUUACACAUUUGCACUACCGACUAGGCCCAGAACAAGACACCCUGAAUUCCCAUUGGAAUCAGAUCAUUCCCAAGCAGUUAAAUCAUGUUUAGAAAUUUACCCGUGGUUUCUUAGCAAGUGGUCUGCUUCCACUUGCUGAUGAUAUGCAACCAACUGUAGACUUAUUUUUCUUCUCUUUGGGCACAUAGUUACCAAUGACAAAAGAGAGCCCAUAUAUAUAUUCAAAUAGGGGUGCAGAGAAUCUAAUCUGUAUUUCAAAAAAUAAUUUCAUUCAAAAAUAUAAUCAUACAUGCUCUCUCAACCCAGGAGGCAAGAAGCCACACUGCAUUGUCCCAGUUUCUAAGAAGGGUCAGCAGAAAUUUAGAGAAAACAAUAAGCCUACCAAAUUUUGGAAUUUAGUAAUAGAUUAAAAGAGCAAAAACCCUGAUAACUUCUAAUGUCAGCCAGGUUAAGGUGAAAGAGAUAAUCUUACAUGUUAAUAGAGAUAGUGUCACUGAUAUACUAUGCCAAACCACCAGCAAAAAGGUUAUAUCAAAAUCUAAAAUAUGCAUUCCUUUCACAGCAAUUCCAUUUCUAGGAAUCUAUUAUAAGGAGGUAAUAGAAUACUUCUUUAUAACAAGCAAAGAUAUAUGUAUAAGAACAUAUUUGUAUCAUGUGUAUUUUCUAUAAAAGAAAAAACUGGAAACAAUCCAAAUGCCUACUGAUAGAAAUAAAGCAUGGCUUAUUUAAAGAACUAUAAUGGUUCUCUCUCAGGGUGCACACUUACCAAGCAUCGGCUAUGCUGAGCUUAGUUCUAGGCAGUUGUUACAUCACAUAUACAAACCAAACCUCUGGUCUGGUUGAGUUAUAUUCCAGACAUGACACUUUCAAAUAAAUUCUUAAUGGGAAACUUCAAAAUGGCUACACAUUUUUGAAAUACAGACAUACACAUAUCUGUAAGACAUUUUUUGGUAUUCAGAUAGUGCCAGAUGUGCUCUUGAAUGAAGCCCUUGUAGUAGCUCUGAAGCUGUCAUGCUGCCCUUACAUGCAGAAGAGAAGCCGCUGGAGCAGGUUUAAAAUAAAAACACCAGCCUGAGAUUUGGAACACACUUAAGUGACUUUUCGUUUCUGGCUUUGAUAUAUAUACUGACUGCACAAUCUCAACAAUUUACUUAAUCUUGAUAACCCAGUCGUCCCUUCUUUGACUCACAGAAUUAGUACAAGAGAUCAGAAAAAAAGAAAAAAAAUAUCUAAAAACUCUGUAUAGAUGCCUGGAAAAAAAAAAA
rnacentral:lncRNA from 1 species